AAUAGCGUGCUUGAUAAAAAGGUCGUCUUGAUAGGGCGGAAAAUGAAAGAUAAUCUUUCCGCUAUUA
rnacentral:tRNA from 1 species